GAUGAACGCUAGCGGCGCGCCUUAUGCAUGCAAGUCGAACGGUCUCUCGCAAGAGAGAUAGUGGCAAACGGGUGAGUAAUAGGUAAGUAACCUGCCCUUAAGUGGGGGAUAACACUUCGAAAGAAGUGCUAAUACCGCAUGUGGUGCUCUUUCACAAGGAAGAGUACUGAAGUCGAAAGACGCUUGAGGAGGGGCUUGCCUCCGAUUAGCUAGUUGGUGGGGUAACGGCCUACCAAGGUUAUGAUCGGUAGCUGGUCUGAGAGGAUGGUCAGCCACACUGGAACUGAGACACGGUCCAGACUCCUACGGGAGGCAGCAGCAAGGAAUCUUGGGCAAUGGGCGAAAGCCUGACCCAGCGACGCCGCGUGAGGGAUGACGGCCUUCGGGUUGUAAACCUCUUUUCUCAGGGAAGAAUAAUGACGGUACCUGAGGAAUAAGUCUCGGCUAACUACGUGCCAGCAGCCGCGGUAAUACGUAGGAGGCGAGCGUUAUCCGGAUUUAUUGGGCGUAAAGUGGGCGUAGGUGGUCUUUCAAGUCAGAUGUGAAAUCUCCCGGCUCAACUGGGAGAGGUCCUUGGAUACUGGCGGACUUGAGGGAGGUAGAGGAGAGUGGAAUUCCCGGUGUAGUGGUGAUAUGCGUAGAUAUCGGGAGGAACACCAGUGGCGAAGGCGGCUCUCUGGGCCUUACCUGACGCUGAGACGCGAAAGCGUGGGGAGCGAACCGGAUUAGAUACCCGGGUAGUCCACGCCGUAAACUAUGGACACUAGGUGUGGGGGGUAUCGACCCCCUCCGUGCCGAAGCUAACGCAAUAAGUGUCCCGCCUGGGGAGUACGGCCGCAAGGCUAAAACUCAAAGGAAUUGACGGGGGCCCGCACAAGCAGCGGAGCGUGCGGUUUAAUUCGUCGCAACGCGAAGAACCUUACCAAGGCUUGACAUGCUAGUGGUACCAAUCCCGAAAGGUGCGGGAACCCUUCGGGGAGCUAGCACAGGUGCUGCAUGGCUGUCGUCAGCUCGUGCCGUGAGGUGUUGGGUUAAGUCCCGCAACGAGCGCAACCCUGUUGCCAGUUGUAUUCUCUGGCCAGAUGCCCCGUAAAGCGGGGAAGAAAGUCGGGAAUGACGUCAAGUCACACGGCCCUUACGUCUUGGGCCUUCCCACGCUACAAUGGUCGGUACAUAAGGUUGCCA
rnacentral:rRNA from 1 species